rnacentral:rRNA from 1 species
GAUGAACGCUGGCGGCGUGCUUAACACAUGCAAGUCGAACGGGAUCCAAGGGGUGCUUGCACUUUUUGGUGAGAGUGGCGAACGGGUGAGUAACACGUGAGUAACCUGUCCUUUUCUUUGGGAUAAGCAUUCGAAAGGGUGUUUAAUACCUUAUGUUCUGUCUGCCUCGCAUGGGGUGGGUGGUAAAGGCUUUGGCCGGAUUUGGGUGGGCUCGCGGGCUAUCAGCUUGUUGGUGGGGUGAUGGCUUACCAAGGCUUUGACGGGUCGCCGGCCUGAGCGGGUGGUCGGUCAUAUUGGGACUGAGAGACGGUCCAGACUCCUGCGGGAGGCAGCAGUGGGGGAUAUUGCACAAUGGGCGAAAGCCUGAUGCAGCGACGCCGCGUGGGGGAUGAAGGCCGUCGGGGUGUAAACUUCUGUUGCUCUGAACAAGGCAUGCCAGUGGGUGUGUUGAGUGUAGGGGUUGAUUAGCGCCGGCUAACUACGUG